AUGGGCUACUACCGCAAGUUCGUCCCGCAUUACGACAUCAUCGCGAAGCCGCUCACUCAGCUCCUGACCAAGAAGGGAUUUGAAUGGAACGACAAGUCCCAUCAGGCGUUCGACAUGCUCAAACAAGCGAUGGUGAGCACACCAGUACUGGCGCUCCCGGAUUACUCACGCCCCUUCGCCAUCGAGACCGACGCGUGCGACACGGGAGUGGGCGCGGUGCUCACCCAGGAUGGCCACCCCGUCGCCUACCUCAGCAAGGCCUUGGGGAUCAAGAACCAGAAGUUGUCCAUGUAUGAAAAGGAGUUCUUAGCAGUCAUGAUGGCCAUCGACAAGUGGAGGCCUUAUUUGCAGCGCGCUCCAUUCGAAAUCGUCACCGACCACAAGAGUCUCUGCACGCCCAGCGAUCAACAGCUGGUGACUGAGCUGCAGCACAAGGCCAUGUACAAGAUGGUGGGUCUGCAGUUCACCUUCAGGUACAAGAAAGGCAUCGACAAUGGCGCCACUGACGCGCUUUCCAGGGUUGGGCAUCUGUUGACACUCGAUGCACUAUCGGUCUGUCAGCCAUAG
rnacentral:rRNA from 1 species